ACAAAAGGGGUUAUUCAUGUUCAAGCUAGUUUCAACAAUACCAUUAUAACUGUUACAGACCCACAAGGUCGGGUGGUUUUUUGGUCCUCGGCCGGUACUUGUGGAUUCAAAAGCUCAAGAAAAGCAUCACCCUAUGCUGGUCAAAGAACAGCAGUAGAUGCUAUUCGUACAGUAGGUUUGCAACGAGCAGAAGUUAUGGUAAAGGGCGCUGGUAGUGGAAGAGAUGCCGCAUUACGAGCCAUUGCUAAAAGUGGUGUGCGAUUAAGUUGUAUACGCGAUGUAACACCUAUGCCGCAUAAUGGAUGUCGACAGCCUAAAAAAAGACGUAUGUAA
rnacentral:rRNA from 1 species